rnacentral:rRNA from 1 species
GACGAACGCUGGCGGCGUGCUUAACACAUGCAAGUCGAACGAAGAGCGAUGGAAGCUUGCUUCUAUCAAUCUUAGUGGCGAACGGGUGAGUAACGCGUAAUCAACCUGCCCUUCAGAGGGGGACAACAGUUGGAAACGACUGCUAAUACCGCAUACGAUCUAAUCUCGGCAUCGAGGAUAGAUGAAAGGUGGCCUCUACAUGUAAGCUAUCACUGAAGGAGGGGAUUGCGUCUGAUUAGCUAGUUGGAGGGGUAACGGCCCACCAAGGCGAUGAUCAGCAGCCGGUCUGAGAGGAUGAACGGCCACAUUGGGACUGAGACACGGCCCAGACUCCUACGGGAGGCAGCAGUGGGGAAUCUUCCGCAAUGGACGAAAGUCUGACGGAGCAACGCCGCGUGAGUGAUGACGGCCUUCGGGUUGUAAAGCUCUGUUAAUCGGGACGAAAGGCCUUCUUGCGAAUAGUGAGAAGGAUUGACGGUACCGGAAUAGAAAGCCACGGCUAACUACGUG